rnacentral:rRNA from 1 species
AUGGCCGCCAAAGACCUUUCGUAUGUCAAGACUACUACUCCCCUUGAUCGAGAGAUCCAGCAAAAGGAGGUAAGCUUCCACUUGUACAUGUUCCAGACAGAGGAGACCCAGCGAAUUGUGAUCAAAAGAGAGGAGAACCAGCGUAAUUCCCCCAGUGACUUUGAGGCCAUGGCCGUGCAAGAGUGGCCCAUACGGGAUGGUCCUACCUUCGAAGCAAAUAUUGUUGCGCAUGCCGUGGGCCUGCAUUUCGUCGUCAGUCGGACUGAAGCAAAAUGGUUCAUCUGUUUCAACAUAGUUUUCACCGACGAAAGGCUCAGGCCAUCCAACCUUAAGGUGCUCAGAACUUUGGUCGGAAUGGAUGGUGAAUGGUCGAUCAUUGGUGGGACUGGAAAAUUUGCCUUUGUGCAAGGUGUUGCUACUUACAAAGUAAUCGAGGUUGCUGAAAAGUACAAUGUCAAGGAGCUCCGUAUCCGUGCUCUGUGCCUCACCUUCCUCCCGAAACAAGUCCUUGUCACCAAGAUUGGACCAUGGGGUGGGAACGGAGGAAAAGAAUUUGACAUCAUAGAGUCGGCACCUCAACAUCUAGAAAGUGUGACAAUUAGAAGUGGUGUUGCCAUUGACUCAAUUGCGUUCUCCUACAUUAAUCAAGCUGGAAAGAAGCAAACUCUUGGUCCAUGGGGCGGCGAUGGUGAACUUACUGACACGAUCACUUUUGCCCCUUUAGAGAUUGUGAAGGAAGUUUCAGGAACAACCGGUACUUUUGGUGGAGAUACUAUUGUGACAUCAGUUACUUUUGUCACAAAUGUGAGGACAUAUGGACCUUUUGGAAAACCAAACGGUACUGCUUUCAGUGUCCCUCUUACAGACACCAACGUCGUCGGCUUCUUCGUGCGUGCUGGAAGACCUGUUAAUGCGAUCGGAGUUUAUGCGCGUCCUUCUGUUCAAAAUUAUUAG